rnacentral:rRNA from 1 species
UACGUAGGGGGCUAGCGUUGUCCGGAAUCAUUGGGCGUAAAGCGCGCGUAGGCGGCCCGGUAAGUCCGUUGUGAAAGUCAAAGGCUCAACCUUUGAAAGCCGAUGGAUACUGCCGGGCUAGAGUCCGGAAGAGGCGAGUGGAAUUCCUGGUGUAGCGGUGGAAUGCGCAGAUAUCAGGAGGAACACCGGUGGCGAAGGCGGGUCUCUGGGCCGAUACUGACGCUGAGACGCGAAAGCGUGGGGAGCGAACAGG